rnacentral:misc_RNA from 1 species
AAGACUAUAGACCUGCGGAGUACCUGCGGAAGGAUCAUUAACGUAUCUAUGAUGGGGUGCGGAGCGCCCUGCUCCGGUCGAACGGCCGUGCAGCGGGUGCGCCGCCCCCGUCCCACCUCACAAACCCACUGUGAACAUUCACCGGUGAAGGGGGCUCGGUCUGCGCCGUGUCCCCGAUGCCGAAUACCCAAACUCCAGUUGCAAAGAACGUCGUGCGGACUCGGUGCCGCCUAAAACAUG